CUGCAUUCCUCUUUCAGGUUCUCGGCUGUGAGCUUCAUCUGCUGUUGAGAGAACAGGACAUGGUCCGGGGACGGACACUUGGAACCGAGGAGCCGGGACCACUGAUGCGGCCCGAGGUGUCCCGCCAAGUCCGGAGCCUGUUUCCAACCCAGAGGGGCGGGAAACGGUAGGUGUGGGUGGAAUGUGUUGUGUGCGCCCAGCUCAGCGGGGCCUUUACAGACACUGAAGUGAGAAGCAGCUGGCACCUCCUCCUCCCUGGACCUCCAGGAGAAGGCGGGGAACCACAGGGCUGGGGGCUGGAGCCUGACGUGGGGCCAAGUCCGUGCUCUGCCCCUGCACACCAAGUGACCUCGGAAGUGUGACCGCCGAGCCUCAUGUCACACCCGCCCCCUGGGUGAGAGGUGCACACCCUGCAGGCUGAUGCUGGGGUGACUGCCUCUCAAGUCCUUGGCCCAGAGCAGAGGCCCCAGAAGAGCGGACGUCUCACCAGCCCUCUGUUCCAACAGCCACAUCCAGGAGCAUCGGGGACACCCUGUGAAGGCUCAGAGGGACGUGUCCGAGGAAGGGGCCCACACCCAGGACCAUAGGCUGCAAGGAGGGAGCGCUCUGGCUCCAGUCCUGGGGCCCCACCCGGCCGCCUCUGCCAUGGGUGCUGGAAACGUGAGUACAGCUCUGCACGGUUGACUGAAUCAAUUACGCCUUUGGAAUCUGACUUCACACACACACAGAUUUUUGAUAAUAGCUAUUUACUUAUAGAGAAAACACAACUCUGAGCACAAACAUGGCUGGGGCCUGGGUCCCCGGCUGCCACACGCCUGGACACGACGCACACUCCCUCCGCUUUUGGGAGGAGACCCCUCUGCAGACUGUCAGUCAGAGUCUGUGCCUCCUGCUCCGCUCUGAAGGCCCCUCUAGAUCUCCAGUAACUCAGGAGGCCCCCUUCACUCCAGAUAGUCCUCAUCUCUCUUGCCCUGGGUUUAGGAGACCUUUUCAAACGUCUUUUCAUGAGAGCGAAAAAGGGGUUGAGGGGCAGAAUUUGAUGAGUAGCCAUCAGAAAUUAAAAUCUAAACUGAUGAGGAUAAAAUAUUCCCAGGUUUUCUCACAGAAUCAUACAGCCAGGAGUCCUUCUCCACCUGAGAAGGAAAAUCAUAAUGAGGUGUUUUUUUUUUUUUUAAGUCUUUAUUGAGUUUGUUACAAUACUGCUCCUGUUUCUAUGUUAUGGUUUUUUGGCCUGUGACCUUAGCUCCCUGACCAGGGAUUGAACCUGCAUACCCUGUCCUGGAAGGCGAAGUCUUAACCACUGGACUGCCAGGGAAAUCUCCACAAUGGGUUUUGAUGACACGAGUUUUGAUUGAAAGGCACCUCUGAGGUUCCCCUCCAGGUGCAGACAGCAGCCCCAUCUGUGUGUGUGGCUGGGGAUAAGCCCUCUCCCCUGAACAACCCUGCUGCAAGUGACCUAAUUCUGGAGAUGCCUCUUUUUCCAGCUCCAAGGCCUGGGAAGAGACUCUGAACCCAGCGGGCUGGGUGACCCCCACCUGCAGUGCCUGCUCUGCUGAGGGCAGGGUCCACAGUGGACUGCGUGGCUGGAUCAAAGCUGGAUAUGCUGAGCAGAGAGUAGGACCAGACCUUAAGACCCUAAAGACAAGCCUAAGAGGAAACACACUGCCACAGCCCGCCUGCCCAAAGGGAAGAGUUAAACCGCAUGGGAGGGCAGUGAGCGAUGCGCCAGCCUUCCCUGCACAGUCGGGGCAGGCCUCCACGGCUGCUGCCUGAGAGAUGGGGUUGGAGGCCACGUGGCCCCCGGGCACCCGGGUCACCCAGUUGCUCUCACUGCUCACAGGUCUGUAUCCUCUCACAGUGUGCGGUCACGGAACUCCUCAUGAAACUGCCCACAUCCUCCUUGCCUUCCAGUGAAAUGGGGGGCUUUAGCAGAACUCACUCUAGAAGCAUAAAAGUUCUGAUCUGAAGGAACCUUGUUGAUGAUUAUUUGGUGCUGUGGUCCCUGGACCUUGUUAAAUGCACACUCGGUCCCUCCCUGAGAUGAUAAAAUACCAUCAUGAUGGUUUGUAGGGGGAGCCAGGACACUCUGAACUUUACCAGGCCCUCCAAGUUCCUCCAUGGACAAACCCAGGCCUGGCAUCUGAUUUGUGGUCUGCCAUCUUUUACCAGAAAGCAAACUGGGUCACUGGGCAGGUCCAGACCACAGUCCAUGCUGAGAGUGCUGGGGUGGACCCCACAGCAGCUCAGCUGUUUGGUGAGGGCGCUUCAGCUGCCCUGCUGAAGAGGGUGGGGUGGGAAGGAGCAACCUCAUUCCCUUAAAAAAAUAGCUGGCUUCUUUGGGGACUUCAGAAUCAAAACCUUUAAAAAUAUAAGCAGGACAAUAAUGCUGACCUCUUCCCCAUUAAGAAACAUGAGAAUGAAGAGCAAACGAAAUUUUCCUCAACUCACAAGUCAUUAAAACACUCAUGUUCCAAAUUAUUCUUUAAAAAGCACAGACUGAUUUUUGGCAUCAUUAUUAGCAAUGAUUAUACAGGCAGACCUUUUACUGUGCUUCGCAGGUACUGUUUUUUGCUUUUUUAUUUUAAACAAACUGAAGGUUUCUGGGCAGUCCUGUGUUGAAUGAACACUUCUGUUGAUGGCAUUUCUUGAACAGCAUUAUUUUUUAAGGUUAUGUACAUUUUUUUAAGACAUAAUGCAAUUACACUUAAUAGACCACACUACAGUGUAAACAUUACUUUUAUAUACAGGAGAAAAAGAAAAAUUCACAACUUGCUUUACUGCAGUGGUCUGGAACCAAACCUGCAGUAUCUCAGAGGUCUGCCUCUUAACAGGAACCAACUCACUAAGUGUGUUGGCCAAAUGUGCAGCUUCACCUGAGACAAGGUGAGUGACAGGAUCCCUCUUCCCUGCGGAGAAGUAGAGAAGUGCUGUCCGAGACCUGCACUGCUCUGCACGUCCACAGACACGGCGCCGCAGAGACUCCCUCGCUGACCCAUGGUCACUUUCGGGAUCCUUCUCUUCACCUGACUCAGGAAGUCAGUUUGGUAGCAGCUGCUCUGUUACCCCUUCCCUGAGAAGGACCCUGCACGUUCCUCUCCCUCAAAUGCUGCAGGCCACCACCCCUGCUUCCCCUGCCCCCCCGUUCUGAUUUAACGGGGGCAUGAGGGUUAGGAAGGCUCCCCCAGGUGAUUUUCUCGUGCAGCUGGGGUGGAGAAGCACUACCUGGAAGGAAGCCACUUGGGCACCUUGAGAUCGUGCAGUUCGAGUCAGGACAGACUAAGCGAGGGUCUGCCGUUCAGUGAAGAAAGGAAAGCAGAGAGCAGGCCUUCUGACGUACCCGUUUUCACAAAGCCUUGGCUCUGCUUCCCAAGCACCAGCUCCUUCCCUGUCUGCCUCACCGGCCCUGCCACUGAGCUCUGCCCUUCAGCCUGGCUCCUCCCGGAACACUCAGCCCGGAGGACGCGUCUCCAUC